rnacentral:rRNA from 1 species
GGGUCAGUAGGUUGGUCGUGCCACCGGUACGUACUGGUCUCACUGGUUCCUCCUUCCUGAAGAACCGUAAUGCCAUUAAUUUGGUGUUGCGGGGAAACAGGACUGUUACCUUGAAAAAAUUAGAGUGUUUAAAGCAAGCUAACGCUUGAAUACAUUAGCAUGGAAUAAUGAAAUAGGACGAUCGAUCCUAUUUUGUUGGUUUCUAGGAUUGACGUA